AUACCUACCUGGCAGGGGAGAUACCACGAUCACCACGGUAGUUUUCCCAGGACGAGACUUAGACAUUGCACUUCGGAUGUGCUGACCCCUGCGAUUUCCCCAACCGUGAGAAACUUACCUGCAUAACUUGUGGUAGCGUGGGAUUGCUUUUUCAAAAUGUCUUCCUU
rnacentral:snRNA from 1 species